UCCGGAUCACGUCUCUCCCCCCACACUCGAGAAAAUUAGCCGCCACCGCUCCCCUCCUCGUUGGCCGCAGUUUUGGUCAUGGACGCGCCGCCCACCCUGCACCCUCCGCUGCACGAUGAAUCUCGUCGCCCUCGAAAUAUCGCCGCCGCCACUCUCCUCGUUCGCCUCGUGGUCGUCAUGGCCAAGGUCCUGGUCGUGGACGGCGCCGCCCGCCCCGCCUUGCCCGUGCGAACGCGUUAGUCAUCUCGCCGGCGACCUCCCCGCGGCGCUGCGCCUUCCUCCAACCUCUCUCUUCCCCCGCCUGCCUUGGUUCGCCGGGCGUCGCACGAGCACGUCCCCUGUCCGGCCUCCCCGACUGCACCUCAUCUCCGUGCAUGCCACAGCGCCUCCAUGGUCGCCGGCGAUCAAGCUUGCCUGCCUCUGACGUCCGCCGCCUGAGGCCUGACCUCCCAACGCCGCCGAUCGCAUACUACAGCCACCGGUCGGCAACAUCUUGACUAGCCAAGUUAAACCGUCGGCCGCCUCUUUCUGCCAGCCACGGGGUUUACAAGCACUGCUCCCCUUCCCUGGCAACGUCCUGCCUCCAGGCUCUGCACAAUGAAUCACGCCGCCCCCGUGUUGGUCCUCGACCCGCCGCCGAUGUACGUUGCUGCCCCGCUCUUCAAAUCCACGGGCCAAGUGGCUCCAAUCUGUCACCGCCCUCCACCAGCGCCCUAAAGCUAAGUCCUGCAACGACAUCAUCCUCCACGGCUCUAGACUCGGCGCCACUCUCGAAUUAGUAGAUCAUUCACGCUGAGCAGGUCUUCAACAACCUAAUGUGAUGCGUGUUACAAGUGUGUUAAGGUUGGUCCGUGGUUGCCCCGUUCCAAUUUAUGAUUCUGGUGGUGCCUUCUACAACAAUGCCAUGUCCUCUUCUAUAUUGUUGGGAUCAUAGAACAGCGGUAGAUACUGAUAGCAGGGAUUGAUGAAGCAUGAAAAAGAGAGAGAUUUUAACAAUGAAGCAUUGCCAGCUGCAUGCUUGGCCAGUAGCUCGGCAUUAACAGAAAACACAUGCCAAGUAUGAAGAAACUGAUCUGUUGCCAAAGAACCAAGAAACUGAUUCCCAUGCCUGGUGGAUUUUCUCUCCAUAUCGAUAAGACUCGGACGAGCUCACGAUAGGAGAAAGCAAUAGGAAUCACAUUGUUGCAGGGCACCGACACAACCAAGGAGUCGUGGGUCCUUCGCGAGACACGGCGGAUCUGGCUGCUGUGACAUGGAAGUUGUAGAUCUAGGAAAGGCACAUAGCCACCUUUGCUAGGAGCAGUAGGGUUGGUGGAUGAAAGAUCAGGGCAAUGGCCAAGGAGCAUAGAGGUGGAGGGGCUAAGCCAGAGCAGAUGGAGCAAAGUGUCGUGUCAGAUCCAGGCGAAGGUUAGGGAUGGGGAGGUUGAUGGAAAAGAGGAGAGUAGAGCCGCGAUCGCCUGAUUCUCGCAGCCGACCAUCAUCGCCGUCGACGACGACCAUUGAUGGCGGCGAUAGAGCAGUAGCAGACAAGUGUUCUUGGCCACCAGGGCUUGGGGCGUCUCGAUGUCGCCCCUUGGAGAGACAAGGGAGUGGGAAUCUACCUCUUUUUAUGGAGGCACAACUGCCCUGGAGGAGGAAGGAGCAUGAGAUAGAAUCAUGUUGUAAGUAUGAAUGGAUAUUACAUGACAUCAUGUUCAACAAACAUUUGUCAAUUCAAGAAAUUAUUUUAUCGUUA